rnacentral:tRNA from 1 species
GUCCCUGUAGCGCAAUGGGUAGCGCGUUGGACUUCUUAUCCAAAUGUCGUGGGUUUGAAUCCCACCUGGGAUG